GGUUCGAUCAUGGCCUGGGAUUGAACGCUGGCGGGAUGCUUUACACAAGCAUGCAAGUCGAACGGCAGCACGGACUUCGGUCUGGUGGCGAGUAUGAACGGGUGAGUAAUGUACUGGAACGUGCCUAGUAGCGGGGAUAACUACGCGAAAGCGUAGCUAAUACCGCUACGCCCUUCGGGGGAAAGCGGGACCUUCGGGCCUCGCACUAUUAGAGCGGCCAGGAUAUCGGAUUAGCUAGUUGUGGGGUAACGGCUCACCAAGGCGACGAUCCGCUGGCCGAGAGGACGACCAGCCACACUGGGACUGAGACACGGCCCAGACUCCUACGGGAGGCAGCAGUGGGGAAUUUUGGACAAUGGGGAAACCCUGAUCCAGCCAUCCCGCGUGUGCGAUGCCAGCACCAGUUGUAAAAGCACCUUUGGCAGGAAGAAACGCACGUGUGGGAUAAUACCCCGUGCAACUGACGGUACCUGCAGAAUAAGCACCGGCGAAUCACGUGCCAGCAGCCGCGGUAAUACGAAAAGCGUUAAUCGUGUCUCAUUGGGCGAAGCGGCGCAGGCGGUUCAAAAGAAAGAUGUGAAAUCCCAGAGCUUAACUUUGAUCCAUUUUUAACUACUGUUUUGUGAGUGUGCCGAGGGAGUGGUGGAAUUCCGCGUGGUAAAGGAACAGGUGAGAUAUGUGGAUAAUAUAAUGACAUAAUAGGCUCCGGGAGAAGAUCGACGCUCGUACGAAAGUAGAAAAACAGACGAUACCCUGGUAGUCCACGCCCUAAACGAUGUCAACUAGCUGUUGGGGCCUUCGGGUUCGUAUGCGCAGCUAAUCGCGUGAAGUUGACCGCCUGGGGAGUACGGUCGCAACAUUGGGAAACUCAAAGGAAUUGGAUCGGGGACCUGUACGCGGUGGAUGACGUAUCAAUUCGAUGCAACGCGAAACCCACCUACCCUUGACAUGUCUGAAUCCCGAAGAGAUUUGGGAGUGCUCGCAAGAGAACCGGAACACAGGUGCUGCAUGGCUGUCGUCAGGUCGUGUCGUGAGAUGUUGCCGAACCAGAACGAGCGCAACCUUGUCAUUAGUUGCUACGAAAGGGCACUCUAAUGAGACUGCCGGCGACAAACCGGAGGAAGGUGGGGAUGACGUCAAGUCCCGCGGCCCUUAUGGGUAGGGUCACACGUCAUACAAUGGUCGGGACAGGGUCGCCAACCCGCGAGGGGGAGCCAAUCCCAGAAACCCGAUCGUAGUCCGGAUCGCAGUCUGCACCUGACCAGGAAGUCGGAACUUCCGCGCAGUAAUCGCGGAUCAGCAUGUCGCGGUGAAUGAUUCCCGGGUCUUGUACACACUGCCCGUCACACCAUGGGAGUGGCUUUACCAUGAAGUAGUUAGCCUAACCGUAAGGAGGGCGACGGCUCACGCAGAGAUCCAGAUCAGUGAAGUCAACAACAG
rnacentral:rRNA from 1 species